ACUGGUAUACGUAACGGUAGCAUGCAGACUCAUAACCUGCAAAUCUGGGUUCAAAUCCCAGUGCCAGUC
rnacentral:tRNA from 1 species